rnacentral:rRNA from 1 species
CCUACGGGAGGCAGCAGUAAGGAAUAUUGGUCAAUGGACGCAAGUCUGAACCAGCCAUGCCGCGUGCAGGAUGAAGGCCCUCUGGGUUGUAAACUGCUUUUAUAGGGGACGAAAAAGGGACUUUCUAGUUCAACUGACGGUACCCUAGGAAUAAGCACCGGCUAACUCCGUGCCAGCAGCCGCGGUAAUACGGAGGGUGCAAGCGUUAUCCGGAUUUACUGGGUUUAAAGGGUGCGUAGGUGGGUUGGUAAGUCAGCGGUGAAAUCUUCAAGCUUAACUUGGAAACUGCCAUUGAUACUAUCAAUCUUGAAUCAUCUGGAGGUAAGCGGAAUAUGUCAUGUAGCGGUGAAAUGCUUAGAUAUGACAUAGAACACCAAUUGCGAAGGCAGCUUACUACGGAUGUAUUGACACUGAGGCACGAAAGCGUGGGGAUCAAACAGGAUUAGAUACCCUGGUAGUCCACGCCCUAAACGAUGGAUACUCGACAUACGUGAUAUACUAUNUGUGUNUGNGNGAAGACAUUAAGUAUACCUACCCGUACGGAAGGUAACGAGUACGACGAAGAGUUAGUAACGUACGAAAGUAGUAAGUUAGUACGGACGUAGAGACGUUAGCCGACGGACGACGACGAGGGAGGAGGG